rnacentral:rRNA from 1 species
GACGAACGCUGGCGGCGCGCCUAACACAUGCAAGUCGAACGAGCGAGAGAGAGCUUGCUUUCUCGAGCGAGUGGCGAACGGGUGAGUAACGCGUGAGGAACCUGCCUCAAAGAGGGGGACAACAGUUGGAAACGACUGCUAAUACCGCAUAAGCCCACGGUGCCGCAUGGCACAGAGGGAAAAGGAGCAAUCCGCUUUGAGAUGGCCUCGCGUCCGAUUAGCUAGUUGGUGAGGUAACGGCCCACCAAGGCGACGAUCGGUAGCCGGACUGAGAGGUUGAACGGCCACAUUGGGACUGAGACACGGCCCAGACUCCUACGGGAGGCAGCAGUGGGGAAUAUUGCACAAUGGGGGAAACCCUGAUGCAGCGACGCCGCGUGGAGGAAGAAGGUCUUCGGAUUGUAAACUCCUGUUGUUGGGGAAGAUAAUGACGGUACCCAACAAGGAAGUGACGGCUAACUACGUGCCAGCAGCCGCGGUAAAACGUAGGUCACAAGCGUUGUCCGGAAUUACUGGGUGUAAAGGGAGCGCAGGCGGGAAGACAAGUUGGAAGUGAAGUCUAUGGGCUCAACCCAUAAACUGCUUUCAAAACUGUUUUUCUUGAGUAGUGCAGAGGUAGGCGGAAUUCCCGGUGUAGCGGUGGAAUGCGUAGAUAUCGGGAGGAACACCAGUGGCGAAGGCGGCCUACUGGGCACCAACUGACGCUGAGGCUCGAAAGUGUGGGUAGCAAACAGGAUUAGAUACCCUGGUAGUCCACACCGUAAACGAUGAUUACUAGGUGUUGGAGGAUUGACCCCUUCAGUGCCGCAGUUAACACAAUAAGUAAUCCACCUGGGGAGUACGACCGCAAGGUUGAAACUCAAAGGAAUUGACGGGGGCCCGCACAAGCAGUGGAGUAUGUGGUUUAAUUCGACGCAACGCGAAGAACCUUACCAAGUCUUGACAUCCCUUGACAGGCAUAGAAAUAUGUUUUCUCUUCGGAGCAAGGAGACAGGUGGUGCAUGGUUGUCGUCAGCUCGUGUCGUGAGAUGUUGGGUUAAGUCCCGCAACGAGCGCAACCCUUAUGGUCAGUUACUACGCAAGAGGACUCUGGCCAGACUGCCGUUGACAAAACGGAGGAAGGUGGGGAGGACGUCAAAUCAUCAUGCCCUUUAUGACUUGGGCUACACACGUACUACAAUGGCGUUAAACAAAGAGAAGCAAGACCGCGAGGUGGAGCAAAACUCAGAAACAACGUCCCAGUUCGGACUGCAGGCUGCAACUCGCCUGCACGAAGUCGGAAUUGCUAGUAAUCGUGGAUCAGCAUGCCACGGUGA